rnacentral:rRNA from 1 species
ACUUUGAAAAAAUUAGAGUGCUCAAAGCAGGCUUUACGCCUGGAUAGUGUUGCAUGGAAUAAUGGAACAGGACCUCGGUUCUAUUUUGUUGGUUUUCGGAAUGCGAGGUAAUGAUUAAGAGGGACAGCCGGGGGCAUUCGUAUUGCGCCGCUAGAGGUGAAAUUCUUGGACCGGCGCACGACGAACUACUGCGAAAGCAUUUGCCAAGAAUGUUUCCAUUAAUCAAGAACGAAAGUCAGAGGUUCGAAGGCGAUCAGAUACCGCCCUAGUUCUGACCGUAAACGAUGCCAGCCAGCGAUCCGGCUGCGUUAAUCUUAUGACGCGCCGGGCAGCUUCCGGGAAACCAAAGCUUUUGGGUUCCGGGGGGAGUAUGGUUGCAAAGCUGAAACUUAAAGGAAUUGACGGAAGCGCACACAAGAAAUGGGGCCUGCGGCUUAAUUUGACUCAACACGGUGCAACUCACCCGGCCCGGACACAGGAAGGAUUGACAGAUUAAGAGCUCUUUCUUGAUUCUGUGACAGGUGGUGCAUGGCCGUUUCUAGUUGGUGGAGUGAUUUGUCUGCUUUAUUGCGAUAACGAGCGAGACUCCAGCCUGCUAAAUAGGUCGACCUUUCUAAAUGCCGAGGUCGAUUCUUCUUAGAGGGACAAGCGGUGUCCAGCCGCGCGAAACGGAGCAAAAACAGGUCAGGAUGCCCUUAGAUGUUCGGGGCCGCACGCGCGCCACAUUGAAGGAAUCAGCGUGCUCUUCCCUCUCCGAUAGGAGCGGGUAACCCGUUGAAACUCCUUCGUGCUGGGGAUAGGAAAUUGCAAUUAUUUUCCUUGAACGAGGAAUUCCCAGUAAGCAUGAGUCAUCAGCUCGUGUUGAUUACGUCCCUGCGCUUUGUGCACACCGCCCGUCGCUAUUAUCGAUGAAUUUUGGAGUGAGGUCAU